UUUCCGUAGGUGAACCUGCGGAAGGAUCAUUAUUGUAUAACAGAGGUGCGAGGGCUGUCGCUCAUCCGACAGGUCGUGUACGCCCCAGUGCCCUGACACACACCCGUCCCACGCCUAUGUGCACCACCGCGCGGGUAACCCUUUGCCUUGUUCGGAGGGGCGCUUACGUUUUCACACAUUCUUUGUAUGUUGUGUAGAAAGUAUUUUUUGUUUUUGCGUUUCUGCACUCAAUUCAACUUUCAACACCGGACCUCUUGGCUCCCCCAUCGACGAAGAAAC
rnacentral:misc_RNA from 1 species